rnacentral:sRNA from 1 species
GCCACAACAUCAAUCAAAGUACCUAGUGAGAAAUUGUCAAAGACAAGUCCAAAUUGAGUGGGAAUCCUCGUGGUAGUUGGAUAGAUGAAGAUAAUUGACUCGUGGACAGCAUCACCACUAAUUACAAUGAAAUGAGUUAGGAACGAAGCAAUGAAGAUAAUGGGAUAUGCAUAUUUGUCAAACAAACAGUGAACCAGAUGAAACUUCAAUUAAUGCAAAUCUUCAAAUCUAGGCCCAGAUGCUUAUCAGGAAGCCAUCUACCGUAGGAUCGAUGGUGUUACCACAAAAGGAAGACCAAAUUACCUCAUCUAGGCUCUGUAAUGCCUCCAAGCCAAAUGUGUAGUAUGCCAUGAAAGGUCUUACAGCCUGUUAGGAAAGAACCAAGACAAAAUUGGUUUUCAAGCAUAUAAUUCACGGGUAAACAGAAUUACAGAGUAUGAUUUAUCCGCCACACGUUUGACCUAAUUCCUCACCAGCUCAUCUUAAUCAUCAAAUCCUCACUACACAAAACCAUCAAUAGUUUGAGUAAUCCACACAAAACAAGCUUCCAUGCCCAACCACCCUUUUGUCUGUCUGCAUUUCAUGCUCCUUUUCCUUUUCUUUUGAGAAAUAAGUUUAAAACUAUUUAUGGAAUGGCUAUAGAAAAUAUCAGAUUGUACUGUAUCCUAAAAUAUCUAUAUUAUCCUCUAGGAUUGGCUUCUGUCAUCAUCUCUGGGAUUUGCUACAAUAUUUCCUUAUGUUAUAAUAUAGCUUUAGUUUCCUCAUUAUAUCUUAAGAUUUAUUGUAUUUCCUUAUUUCAUGAUUUGUUUCCCUUAUUAGCUGAUUCUGAUCACUAGAAAUAAAGUGUUCUAGGCUUUCUGAACAUAUCAAACACAAUAAUACAUUGUUAGAUUGAUUACAUUGUAAUACAUCUCAAUUAAUACCAAUACAGUUUUUCAUUCUUUUCAAUUUUUCUCCAGCUACCAAGCCUAAAAUCACAUAGUCUCAUGUAUCAACAAAUAGUUAGCAUAAUUAAU